UACAGAGGCCCCAAGCGUUACUGAGAAUCACUGGGUUUAAAGGGUGCGUAGGUGGCGCGUUAAGUCCGUUGUGAAAGCCCUGGGCUCAACCCAGGAACUGCUUCGGAUACUGGCGCGCUUGAGGCUAGUAAGGGUCACUGGAACUGACGGUGGAGCGGUGAAAUGCGUAGAUAUCGUCAGGACGCCAAUGGUGAAGACGAAGGUGACUGGGCUAGUUCUGACACUGAGGCACGAAAGCGUGGGGAGCGAACGGGA
rnacentral:rRNA from 1 species